rnacentral:rRNA from 1 species
AACGAACGCUGGCGGCAUGCCUAACACAUGCAAGUCGAACGAGACCUUCGGGUCUAGUGGCGCACGGGUGCGUAACGCGUGGGAACCUGCCCUUAGGUUCGGAAUAACUCCCCGAAAGGGGUGCUAAUACCGGAUAAUGUCUUCGGACCAAAGAUUUAUCGCCUGUGGAUGGGCCCGCGUUGGAUUAGCUAGUUGGUAGGGUAAAAGCCUACCACGGCGACGAUCCAUAGCUGGUCUGAGAGGAUGAUCAGCCACACUGGGACUGAGACACGGCCCGGACUACAACGGGAGGCGGCAGUGGGGAAGAUUGGACAAUGGCGGAUAGCUGAAUACAGCCAUGGCGCGGGAGUGAUGAAGUGCUUAGGAUUGUAAAGCUCUUUUACCCGGGAUGAUAAUGACAGUACCGGGAGAAUAAGCUCCGGCUAACUCCGUG